CCCUUAGAUGUCCUGGGCUGCACGCGCGCUACACUGACGAAGUCAGCGAGCAUGUCCUACGCCGACAGGUGCGGGGAAUCUUGUCAAACUUCGUCGUGAUGGGGAUUGAUUAUUGAAAUUCUUGAUCAUCAACGAGGAAUUCCUAGUAAGCGCAAGUCAGCAGCUUGCGUUGAUUACGUCCCUGCCCUUUGUACACACCGCCCGUCGCUACUACCGAUUGAAUGGUUUAGUGAGAUCUUCGGAUUGGCGCCACUGCGGCUCAGCAAUGGGCUCGGUGGAUGCCGAAAAGUUGAUCAAACUUGAUCAUUUAGAGGAAGUAAAAGUCGUAACA
rnacentral:rRNA from 1 species